rnacentral:tRNA from 1 species
UCUAAUAUGGCAGAAAAUGCCGUAGAUUUAAGCUCUGCUUAAAAAGGUUUAAAUCCUUUUAUUAGAA